rnacentral:lncRNA from 1 species
UUUGAGUACUGUGUUAGGAAGGGCAGUCAGUUGGUACUAAGGGCCAGGAGGCAGCCCCCCAGCGCUUAAUUACCAUGCACAAUCAGCGCCCCCGCGCUGACAAGCAGUAGCUCAUAACCAGCCACAACGCCCCGGCGCUCGCCAUCAGAAUCUUCAAGACAUGCCCAGCGCCCCAGCGCUCCCACACAGUUCAACUCAGCGCCCCGCCGCUACACAUCAGUAGCCCCAAGUUAGUCACAGACCCGGCGCUCUCCUACAGGCCAAAUACAGCGCCCCGGCGCUGCAUGCACACUCACGCCUCUGCAGUUUAGCGCCCCAGCGCUAUAGUGACAGGUUUGAAAAUUAAAAGGGUCUGGUACGCCCUUUCAGUUACUCAACCCCCCCACUAUUCGUUUUCCAUUUUUGACACGAUAAAAAUUGCCCCAUUCUCUUCAUAUCACUUCAUUAUUUCUCAUUGUCCAUACUUGUUGAUUAUCCUUAGUAACUUUCCCACACUAGCGACUCACAUACCUUAUUGGAUUUCUUCUCCUGCUAAGGUAAGGCAUGCAUUCUAGUUCACUUCAAUCAAUUCUUCUUUGACAUUUGUCAACAACUUGAGUUUUGGAUGCCAUAAAUAUGCUCAUAUACAUAUGAGUGUGAUUGAUAUACACAUCUAUUUUGGUUACAAGAGAUUUAAAGAGUGCCCACAAGGUGCUCGAUUAAUUGCCUAUGUGAUGUGUCAUUGUUAUUGUUGGCCCUAAACAUGAAUACCACUGAAUUUAAUUGCAUACUUGUCAUUCCAUUAACACAUGGAUACGGAUAGAGUAUUAUAUCAUUAGAGUAUGGGCUAAUUUUCAUGACCUCUUUAAUGUUUGUCUGUAUUCACAUAUUUUGAUGGCUAUUGUCAAGAGGAUUUGCAUACGCACUGAUUGGUCCUGAAUUUUCUUCAAUGUCAAUAUAGUUUAGUGUUUGUUGGGUGAUUGCCAUAAAGUCUGUGUGAGAAAUUCGUUGUAGUCACACCCCCAAACCCUAUUAUACAAAGCUAUCAUACUACGAAGUUUGGGGGUCGUGGUAUGAUUAAGUGACUUCGUGUAAUACUUGCGCAAAUGAUAAGUGUGACCACCCGAAUUUUUAUAAGUUAUUAAAAUAAGAAUUUAAUAAUUAAAAUUUUUAUUAUGAGGUGUAUAUAUUUUAAAUUAUGUGAUUUGGUGUGAAGAGAAUUAUAUAUUCAUAUGUUAGAGAAUGUGAGAUUUAAUAGUUAAUUAAACUAUUAAAGAAAUUAAAUAAUAUUAGUUUAUUUAAUUAAGUUGAAAUUAUGUUAUGAGAUAAUAUAAUUUUAAUUAUUAUGCCUUGUGGGCAAUGGAAAUUAUUAUGAGUUAAGUUUCAUAAAUAGUGUGAAUAAUUCACUUAAUUAAAAUAGUGAAUUAAUACAAGUAUAAUUGAUUUAAUAAAGUGAGAAGGUAAUAUAUUGCAUGAAAAUGUAAAUGUUAGUAUAAUGCGAG